UUCUGUCCCGUCUCCUCCCGCCCAGAAACGAGGAACCCGUCGCCCCUCGCCCGGCACCGAUCGCUCCUCGCCCCUCGCUCGGCACCGAUCGCUCCUCGCCCCUCGCCCGGCACCGAUCGCUGUCAGCCUGGUCGCCCACUCAUCCAGCUGCUUGAAGCCAUGGCCUUUAACUACUAUCAACGCACAUGGUGUGGAUCUGCUGCCGCUACUACUAAUUAUGAUGAAAUCGAAGCAUGUGCUGUUGUCGUUUCAACAUUAAGGAAGAAACGGCGCUGGGGAGGCUCUGUUGUUGGCCACAAGACAAAAAAUCGUGACCGUAUUGGUGGUAACAUUCAAUUGAACAAUGAUUAUUUUAUUGAGAGGCCAUUAUUCAAUGCCGAGGAAUUCCGCAGAAGGUUCCGUAUGCGGCAAUCCCUUUUCUUGGAGAUUGAAGACAAAUUGGCAGCUGCAAGUAAGUUCUUCAGACAAGAAAGAAAUGCAGCUGGUGUGUUGGGAUUCUCCACUAGACAAAAGUGCACUGUGGGUUUACGGAUGUUGGCUUAUGGAGGGCCAGCAGAUGCACUAGA